CCUGCCUUUCCUCGGCAGGAGUCAGGCACGGGAUCCGAGUCCCUGAAAUGUAUGGAGGCAGAGGAAGUGGAUCUGGUUCACUUAGCAUCAUAUCUUCAUGGUUUUCAGUCUACAGGUUCUAUCCUCAAGUGCUGGAACAUGA